rnacentral:rRNA from 1 species
CCUACGGGUGGCAGCAGUGGGGAAUAUUGGGCAAUGGGCGCAAGCCUGACCCAGCAACGCCGCGUGAAGGAAGAAGGCUUUCGGGUUGUAAACUUCUUUUGUCAGGGACGAAGCAAGUGACGGUACCUGACUAAUAAGCCACGGCUAACUACGUGCCAGCAGCGGCGGUAAUACGUAGGUGGCAAGCGUUAUCCGGAUUUACUGGGUGUAAGGGGCGUGUAGGCGGGGAAGCAAGGCAGAGGGGAAAACCACGGGCUCAACCUGUGGCCUGCAUUUGAAACUGUUUUUCUUGAGUGCUGGAGAGGCAAUCGGAAUUCCGGGUGUAGCAGUGAAAUGCGUAGAUAUCGAGAGGAACACUCGUGGCGAAGGCGGGUUACUGGACAGUAACUGACGCUGAGGCACGAAGGCCAGGGGAGCGAAAGGGAUUAGAUACCCUUGUAGUC